rnacentral:rRNA from 1 species
GAUGAACGCUGGCGGCGUGCUUAACACAUGCAAGUCGAACGGAAAGGCCCUAGCUUGCUGGGGUACUCGAGUGGCGAACGGGUGAGUAACACGUGGGUGAUCUGCCCUGCACUUUGGGAUAAGCUGGGGAAACUGGGUCUAAUACCGAAUAUGACCACUUCGUGGAUGUUGUGGUGGAAAGCUUUUGCGGUGUGGGAUGAGCCUGCGGCCUAUCAGCUUGUUGGUGGGGUAAUGGCCUACCAAGGCGGCGACGGGUAUCCGGCCUGAGAGGGUGUACGGACACAUUGGGACUGAGAUACGGCCCAGACGCCUACGGGAGGCAGCAGUGGGGAAUAUUGCACAAUGGGCGCAAGCCUGAUGCAGCGACGCCGCGUGGGGGAUGAAGGCCUUCGGGUUGUAAACUCCUUUCGCUAUCGACGAAGCCACUUGUGGUGACGGUAGGUAGAUAAGAAGCACCGGCUAACUACGUGCCAGCAGCCGCCGUAA